UGCGGUAUGGCGCAGCGGUAGCGCAACGGGUUCAUACCCCGAAGGUCAGUGGUUCGAUUCCACUUGCCGCAACCA
rnacentral:tRNA from 1 species